rnacentral:rRNA from 1 species
UACGUAGGGAGCAAGCGUUGUCCGGAAUCAUUGGGCGUAAAGCGCGCGUAGGUGGCUCUAUAAGUCCGUUGUGAAAGUCAAAAGGCUCAACCUUUGAAAGCCGAUGGAUACUGUAGAGCUAGAGUCCGGAAGAGGCGAGUGGAAUUCCUGGUGUAGCGGUGGAAUGCGCAGAUAUCAGGAGGAACACCAAUAGCGAAGGCAGCUCGCUGGGACGGUACUGACACUAAGGCGCGAAAGCGUGGGGAGCGAACAGG